UAGGGAAUCUUCCACAAUGGGCGCAAGCCUGAUGGAGCAACACCGCGUGAGUGAAGAAGGGUUUCGGCUCGUAAAGCUCUGUUGUUAAAGAAUGACAUUGAGAGUAACUGUUCAAUGUGUGACGGUAUCUUACCAGAAAGGAACGGCUAAAUACGUGCCAA
rnacentral:rRNA from 1 species